CCGCGCCGCCGCGCACCUGCCCGCAGCCGGGGUUCCGACGCGCAUCCCCGCGCCUCUCGGGUUUGGGGCACCCAGGGGGCAGGGGACCCACGGCCGAAGCCUGAGCGCCGCGGGCUCGGUUCCUGCCGGCAACGCACUCCUUUCCUGCCUGCCCACCUUUCAGUGGAGAAUCUCUGUGGAUGGAGUUACAGAAAGGACACAGGAUCCUGGAUGCCAUCUAUGAUGGUGCUGCAAAGAUGCCAGCCAGAUAAUUCUUUACCUCAUUAUGCACCUACCAUCUGCAUAUUUGUUGAACUCCAACAAAUGCACGGAUGCACUGUGGUUAUUUAUUCCUGGGAAAUGUUACUGGUAAAAUGUUGAUGAGAGUGUAGGGAGAGGGGCACAAACGUAUUAUUGGUUCUCUGGGCACCAUUCCCCUGCAUGUUACAUUCACUGCUGAUUCUCACUGACCAAGGGUACACUAUUGAGAAAGGAAAAUCACAGACAUAGUAGGUGAGCUAGAGGCACUGCCACAGUGGGACAAGAGGGAAUUUGCAUUCACUGAGUACUCAUCAUAGGCCAGGAACUGUUCUAGGCUUUUCCUUUUUUUUUUUUUUUUUUUUAAGAUUUUAUUUAUUUAUUUGACAGAAAGAGAGAAAGAGAGAGAGGGAGAAGCAGAUUCCCUGCUGAGCAUGGAGCCCAAUGUGGGGCUCCAUCCUAGGACCCUGAGAUCAUGACCUGAGCCAAAGGCAGACACUUAACCAGCUGAGCCACCCAAGUGCUCCAUGUGCUAGGCCUUUUCCAUUUCACAUCUCAACAAAUCUUCAGAACAGCUCUGAGAGGCAGGCAGCUGUAUCUUAGAUCGGAUAUCUUGCAGCUUUGGUCUGCUCAAGGUCACUGGCUAGUAAGUACCAGAGUGGGGGUCCAAGCUCAUGUCUGUCUGGCUUCCAANGAGGCAGGCAGCUGUAUCUUAGAUCGGAUAUCUUGCAGCUUUGGUCUGCUCAAGUACCAGAGUGGGGGUCCAAGCUCAUGUCUGUCUGGCUUCCAGGUGCAUGCUCUUACCUUGUCACCAUUUGUCUUUGAAGUAUAAGAAAUCUUGGCUGGGUAAAUUUGAGAGCACUCUUCCACCACCAAUUCUGUUCUCAUAGCAGCUGCAGAUUGUCCUCUAUCUUCCCAAAAAUCCCUGGGAUCUGUUUCUCUCCAUCCUGGACUCAAAAUCCAGGCCUCACUGCACAGCAGACCAGCUCCUUGCUGCUCCUUUCUGCUGGAUCAGAAGAUAUCAGAAUUUGCAUCCAUAGGGAAAAGUGGAUCAUAGCUAUUGGAAGGUAAGCUGUAUAUUUA
rnacentral:lncRNA from 1 species